AUCGCUUCUCGGCCUUUUGGCUAAGAUCAAGUGUAGUAUCAAGCAAGACUCAGUAAUUGAAUGGUUUGUUUGUGUAGGCUAAAGAUUGUCUCUUGUAGUAAGGAAAGGUAAUUCAUAAUCACC
rnacentral:snRNA from 1 species